AGCGAACGCUGGCGGCGUGCCUAACACAUGCAAGUCGAACGAGGUAGCAAUACCUAGUGGCAGACGGGUGAGUAACGCGUGGUCAACCUACCGUUGAGUGGGGGAUAACUAGCCGAAAGGUUAGCUAAUACCGCAUACGUCUCCAGGUGGCAUCACUUGGCGAUAAAAGGAGCAAUCCGCUCGAUGACGGGACCGCGUCCCAUUAGCUAGAUGGUGGGGUAACGGCCUACCAUGGCACCGAUGGGUAGCUGGUUUGAGAGAGCGACCAGCCACACUG
rnacentral:rRNA from 1 species